AUUUGCAGGCAUGAACACGGUGAAGCGAAUAGUUGUUCUUAGGAACAAUUUCCCUUGCAGUCUUUCACAGACACCCAGGAGAAAACUGGUGCUCAGGGGCACAAAAUUCCAACUAAAAGAAACAGAGGACUUUACAGGUUUUCCAUGUGGCCCUCUGGAUAAAACAGAAGGCCUCAAGGAUUGUUCUAAAGCUUGGACUUCAAGUUCACAGCAGCCAGCUGUAACUCAGAGGCCGCGUGUUCAAGCCACGAAGAUGCCAGGAACUGGGAAGACAAGAGAUCAGAGUGUCCCUGACCCUCAAGAAGCUAAGUGA
rnacentral:lncRNA from 1 species